UUAAGCGACUAAGCGUACACGGUGGAUGCCCUGGCAGUCAGAGGCGAUGAAGGGCGUGCUAAUCUGCGAUAAGCGCCGGUAAGGUGAUAUGAACCGUUAUAACCGGCGAUACCCGAAUGGGGAAACCCAGUGUGAUUCGUCACACUAUCAUUAACUGAAUCCAUAGGUUAAUGAGGCGAACCGGGGGAACUGAAACAUCUAAGUACCCCGAGGAAAAGAAAUCAACCGAGAUUCCCCCAGUAGCGGCGAGCGAACGGGGAGGAGCCCAGAGCCUGAAUCAGCAUGUGUGUUAGUGGAAGCGUCUGGAAAGGCGCGCGAUACAGGGUGACAGCCCCGUACACAAAAGCGCAUGUGCUGUGAGCUCGAUGAGUAGGGCGGGACACGUGGUAUCCUGUCUGAAUAUGGGGGGACCAUCCUCCAAGGCUAAAUACUCCUGACUGACCGAUAGUGAACCAGUACCGUGAGGGAAAGGCGAAAAGAACCCCGGCGAGGGGAGUGAAAAAGAACCUGAAACCGUGUACGUACAAGCAGUGGGAGCACCCUUUGGGUGUGACUGCGUACCUUUUGUAUAAUGGGUCAGCGACUUAUAUUCUGUAGCAAGGUUAACCGAAUAGGGGAGCCGGAGGGAAACCGAGUCUUAAUUGGGCGUUAAGUUGCAGGGUAUAGACCCGAAACCCGGUGAUCUAGCCAUGGGCAGGUUGAAGGUUGGGUAACACUAACUGGAGGACCGAACCGACUAAUGUUGAAAAAUUAGCGGAUGACCUGUGGCUGGGGGUGAAAGGCCAAUCAAACCGGGAGAUAGCUGGUUCUCCCCGAAAGCUAUUUAGGUAGCGCCUCGUGAAUUCAUCUCCGGGGGUAGAGCACUGUUUCGGCUAGGGGGCCAUCCCGGCUUACCAACCCGAUGCAAACUGCGAAUACCGGAGAAUGUUAUCACGGGAGACACACGGCGGGUGCUAACGUCCGUCGUGAAGAGGGAAACAACCCAGACCGCCAGCUAAGGUCCCAAAGUCAUGGUUAAGUGGGAAACGAUGUGGGAAGGCCCAGACAGCCAGGAUGUUGGCUUAGAAGCAGCCAUCAUUUAAAGAAAGCGUAAUAGCUCACUGGUCGAGUCGGCCUGCGCGGAAGAUGUAACGGGGCUAAACCAUGCACCGAAGCUGCGGCAGCGACGCUGAUGCGUUGUUGGGUAGGGGAGCGUUCUGUAAGCCUGCGAAGGUGGCCUGUGAGGGUUGCUGGAGGUAUCAGAAGUGCGAAUGCUGACAUAAGUAACGAUAAAGCGGGUGAAAAGCCCGCUCGCCGGAAGACCAAGGGUUCCUGUCCAACGUUAAUCGGGGCAGGGUGAGUCGACCCCUAAGGCGAGGCCGAAAGGCGUAGUCGAUGGGAAACGGGUUAAUAUUCCCGUACUUGGUGUUACUGCGAAGGGGGGACGGAGAAGGCUAUGUUGGCCGGGCGACGGUUGUCCCGGUUUAAGCGUGUAGGUGUGUGUUCCAGGUAAAUCCGGUUCACUUUAACACUGAGGCGUGACGACGAGGCACUACGGUGCUGAAGCAACAAAUGCCCUGCUUCCAGGAAAAGCCUCUAAGCAUCAGGUAACACGAAAUCGUACCCCAAACCGACACAGGUGGUCAGGUAGAGAAUACCAAGGCGCUUGAGAGAACUCGGGUGAAGGAACUAGGCAAAAUGGUGCCGUAACUUCGGGAGAAGGCACGCUGAUAUGUAGGUGAAGCGGUUUACCCGUGGAGCUGAAAUCAGUCGAAGAUACCAGCUGGCUGCAACUGUUUAUUAAAAACACAGCACUGUGCAAACACGAAAGUGGACGUAUACGGUGUGACGCCUGCCCGGUGCCGGAAGGUUAAUUGAUGGGGUCAGCGCAAGCGAAGCUCCUGAUCGAAGCCCCGGUAAACGGCGGCCGUAACUAUAACGGUCCUAAGGUAGCGAAAUUCCUUGUCGGGUAAGUUCCGACCUGCACGAAUGGCGUAAUGAUGGCCAGGCUGUCUCCACCCGAGACUCAGUGAAAUUGAACUCGCUGUGAAGAUGCAGUGUACCCGCGGCAAGACGGAAAGACCCCGUGAACCUUUACUAUAGCUUGACACUGAACAUUGAGCCUUGAUGUGUAGGAUAGGUGGGAGGCUUUGAAGUGUGGACGCCAGUCUGCAUGGAGCCGACCUUGAAAUACCACCCUUUAAUGUUUGAUGUUCUAACGUGGACCCGUUACCCGGGUUGCGGACAGUGUCUGGUGGGUAGUUUGACUGGGGCGGUCUCCUCCUAAAGAGUAACGGAGGAGCACGAAGGUUGGCUAAUCCUGGUCGGACAUCAGGAGGUUAGUGCAAUGGCAUAAGCCAGCUUGACUGCGAGCGUGACGGCGCGAGCAGGUGCGAAAGCAGGUCAUAGUGAUCCGGUGGUUCUGAAUGGAAGGGCCAUCGCUCAACGGAUAAAAGGUACUCCGGGGAUAACAGGCUGAUACCGCCCAAGAGUUCAUAUCGACGGCGGUGUUUGGCACCUCGAUGUCGGCUCAUCACAUCCUGGGGCUGAAGUAGGUCCCAAGGGUAUGGCUGUUCGCCAUUUAAAGUGGUACGCGAGCUGGGUUUAGAACGUCGUGAGACAGUUCGGUCCCUAUCUGCCGUGGGCGCUGGAGAACUGAGGGGGGCUGCUCCUAGUACGAGAGGACCGGAGUGGACGCAUCACUGGUGUUCGGGUUGUCAUGCCAAUGGCACUGCCCGGUAGCUAAAUGCGGAAGAGAUAAGUGCUGAAAGCAUCUAAGCACGAAACUUGCCCCGAGAUGAGUUCUCCCUGAGACUUAGAGUCUCCUGAAGGAACGUUGAAGACGACGACGUUGAUAGGCCGGGUGUGUAAGCGCAGCGAUGCGUUGAGCUAACCGGUACUAAUGAACCGUGAGGCUUAACCUU
rnacentral:rRNA from 1 species